rnacentral:rRNA from 1 species
UACGAAGGUCCCAAGCGUUGUUCGGAAUCACUGGGCGUAAAGGGCGCGUAGGCGGCGUGGUAAGUCAGAUGUGAAAUCCCGGGGCUCAACCCCGGAACUGCAUCCGAUACUGCCGUGCUUGAGGGUUGGAGAGGUAGCUGGAAUUAUCGGUGUAGCAGUGAAAUGCGUGGAUAUCGAUAGGAACACUCGUGGCGUAAGCGAGUCACUGGACAGUAUCUGACGCUGAGGCACGAAGGCCAGGGUAGCGAAAGGG